GCAGUCGAACGGCAGCAUGAUCUAGCUUGCUAGAUUGAUGGCGAGUGGCGAACGGGUGAGUAAUACAUCGGAACGUGCCCUGUAGUGGGGGAUAACUAGUCGAAAGAUUAGCUAAUACCGCAUACGACCUGAGGGUGAAAGUGGGGGACCGCAAGGCCUCAUGCUAUAGGAGCGGCCGAUGUCUGAUUAGCUAGUUGGUGAGGUAAAGGCUCACCAAGGCGACGAUCAGUAGCUGGUCUGAGAGGACGAUCAGCCACACUGGGACUAAGACACGGCCCAGACUCCUACGGGAGGCAGCAGUGGGGAAUUUUGGACAAUGGGGGCAACCCUGAUCCAGCAAUGCCGCGUGCGUGAAGAAGGCCUUCGGGUUGUAAAGCACUUUUGUCCGGAAAGAAAUCGCACUUACUAAUAUUAGGUGUGGAUGACGGUACCGGAAGAAUAAGGACCGGCUAACUACGUGCCAGCAGCCGCGGUAAUACGUAGGGUCCAAGCGUUAAUCGGAAUUACUGGGCGUAAAGCGUGCGCAGGCGGUUGUGCAAGACCGAUGUGAAAUCCCCGGGCUUAACCUGGGAAUUGCAUUGGUGACUGCACGGCUAGAGUGUGUCAGAGGGGGGUAGAAUUCCACGUGUAGCAGUGAAAUGCGUAGAGAUGUGGAGGAAUACCGAUGGCGAAGGCAGCCCCCUGGGAUAACACUGACGCUCAUGCACGAAAGCGUGGGGAGCAAACAGGAUUAGAUACCCUGGUAGUCCACGCCCUAAACGAUGUCAACUAGUUGUUGGGGAUUCAUUUCCUUAGUAACGUAGCUAACGCGUGAAGUUGACCGCCUGGGGAGUACGGUCGCAAGANUNAAACUCAAAGGAAUUGACGGGGACCCGCACAAGCGGUGGAUGAUGUGGAUUAAUUCGAUGCAACGCGAAAAACCUUACCUACCCUUGACAUGCCACUAACGAAGCAGAGAUGCAUUAGGUGCUCGAAAGAGAAAGUGGACACAGGUGCUGCAUGGCUGUCGUCAGCUCGUGUCGUGAGAUGUUGGGUUAAGUCCCGCAACGAGCGCAACCCUUGUCUCUAGUUGCUACGAAAGGGCACUCUAGAGAGACUGCCGGUGACAAACCGGAGGAAGGUGGGGAUGACGUCAAGUCCUCAUGGCCCUUAUGGGUAGGGCUUCACACGUCAUACAAUGGUGCAUACAGAGGGUUGCCAAGCCGCGAGGUGGAGCUAAUCCCAGAAAAUGCAUCGUAGUCCGGAUCGUAGUCUGCAACUCGACUACGGGAGCUGGAAUCGCUAGUAUCGCGGAUC
rnacentral:rRNA from 1 species